UGGCUCAGAUGAUAAAGCGUCUGCUUACAAUGCAGGAGACCCAGGUUCGAUCCCUGG
rnacentral:tRNA from 1 species